AUUGAACGCUGGCGGCAGGCCUAACACAUGCAAGUCGAGCGGUAGCACAGAGAGCUUGCUCUCGGGUGACGAGCGGCGGACGGGUGAGUAAUGUCUGGGAAACUGCCUGAUGGAGGGGGAUAACUACUGGAAACGGUAGCUAAUACCGCAUAACGUCGCAAGACCAAAGUGGGGGACCUUCGGGCCUCAUGCCAUCAGAUGUGCCCAGAUGGGAUUAGCUAGUAGGUGGGGUAACGGCUCACCUAGGCGACGAUCCCUAGCUGGUCUGAGAGGAUGACCAGCCACACUGGAACUGAGACACGGUCCAGACUCCUACGGGAGGCAGCAGUGGGGAAUAUUGCACAAUGGGCGCAAGCCUGAUGCAGCCAUGCCGCGUGUGUGAAGAAGGCCUUCGGGUUGUAAAGCACUUUCAGCGGGGAGGAAGGCGGUGAGGUUAAUAACCUCAUCGAUUGACGUUACCCGCAGAAGAAGCACCGGCUAACUCCGUGCCAGCAGCCGCCGCUGUAA
rnacentral:rRNA from 1 species